CAAGAGUACCCUCCCAUUACUCACAUAAUCCGAAAGCUUGCUUAAUCACAAGUAACAAACAUCAGGUGUAGAAUUAUAAGCAUCCAUCUUGCCAAAAGUGAGAAAGAUAACAAUAUCAUCCUUUAUCGAGUAGGUGCAUAUCUCUUCUUUGUUAUGCACAUGACUUCUCAUCUUUUAUCGAGUAGGUGCAUAUCUCCUCUUUGUGAUGCACAUGGUUUCUCCUCUUUUAUUGGGUAGGUGCAUAUCUC
rnacentral:lncRNA from 1 species